ACGAACGCUGGCGGCGUGCUUAACACAUGCAAGUCGAACGGUGAAGGGGUCUGCUUUUGUGGGCCCUGGAUGAGUGGCGAACGGGUGAGUAACACGUGAGUAACCUGCCCCCUUCUUCUGGAUAACCGCAUGAAAGUGUGGCUAAUACGGGAUAUUCUGGGUCUGUCGCAUGAUGGGUCUGGGAAAGAUUGCGCCUUUGGGUGUUUUUGGUGGGGGAUGGGCUCGCGGCCUAUCAGCUUGUUGGUGGGGUGAUGGCCUACCAAGGCGGUGACGGGUAGCCGUCCUGAGAGUGUGGACGGUCACACGGGGACUGAGACACGGCCCAGACUCCUACGGGAGGGAGCAGUGGGGAAUAUAGCACAAUGGGCGCAAGCCUGAUGCAGCGACGCCGCGUGAGGGAAGGAGGCCUUCGGGUUGUAAACCUCUUUCGCCAGUGAAGCAGGCCUGCUCCUUGUGGGUGGGUUGACGGUAGCUGGAUAAGAAGCGCCGGCUAACUACGUG
rnacentral:rRNA from 1 species